ensembl:lncRNA
AUGUUUGUUGCGUUAGGCGCCAUGGUGGCUGUGUUGGGCGGCAUGUUGGUUGUGUUGGGCGCCAUGGUGUCUGUGUUGGGUGCCAUGUUGGUUAUGUUGGGCAACAUGGUGUCUGUGUUGGGCACCAUGUUGGUUGUGUUGGGCGCCGUGUUGGUUGCGCUGGGCAACAUGGUGGUGCUAGGUGAUGUGUUAGCCCCGUUGGGCAAAAUGGUAGUUGCACUAGUUGCAUUAGGUAAUACAUUAGUUGCGUUGUCCGACAUGUCAGUUGCAUUAGGGGAUGCAGGAGCAGCAUUAAUUGAUGUGGUAGUCUGAGCUGUGGAAUGAAAGAAAAAAUAUUUAUGAACAGAGAAUAUGAAGCAUUUACAUCUUGACUGUGCAGUGUAAUUAUUCUGAAACUUCUUUAGCAAUGAAUUUUAAUAAUUCCUGAUGGCCCUUCUCAAAAUCUCUCAAUGAGAUUCAAAUAAGUGGAACUAAUUCUCUAAUGAAAACUGUAUCCAAAUGUGACAUACAUACUGUAACAGUGCAGCUGAUGUGAAUGUUACCUGUGGUUAAGCAGCUGAUUGUGGCGAGCAGACAGCCGAUGAGUAAAACAGCGGGAGCCAUCCUACAGGUUCAGUGUGUGUCAGAGCUCUGCCAGUGAUCUUCUGAUUUGUACCCUUUUGUGCUCCGGACUGUUUUCAGAGUCCAACCCUCCACCAACACACACAGAUGUCAGUAACAGAUAAAACAAAAACAUCUUUUCUCAGUUAAUGUGCAUGACUGAUCACAGAUCUCUCAGUUUAUCCUGAAAUACUGGUUUCUUUAAUGAUGCUAUUAAAAUAUCCAAUGUCUGGUGAAGAUUUCCAGGCUGUGACAGUGUGCAGGACUGCCUUUCUAUUU